GAUAAUUGAUGUGCAACAGGACAACCAAAAUCAUAUGAUGUCCCUUCAGGUUCUGGAAGACCAACCAUCACGCUCUGUAUACUGGUCUUCACUAGUAGAGCACAAGUACUAGAGGGCACCAAUCCAUUGGAGUUGCGCGUAUUCACAAAUAGGGCACAAAUCACAAGAGUGCAUCAAUCCAUCGAAACCAAUGAGGGAUAAAGCAACGCAACAAGCCAAUCCACCAAUUUUUAAGUAUCCUUCCACCCUCACACACACACAAGUGUGUG
rnacentral:lncRNA from 1 species